UCCCAGAGGUCACCUUCCGGCCCAAUAAAAAGUUGGCUCAUAAAAUAAACAAAAUCACCUGUGAGGACUGCUCCCUCUAAAUAGCCAUCUCUAAGAGACCAAACUGUCAACAUUUACCCAACAGCAAAGGUGAAAAGGUGCCUUCGAGAUGGUUCCGACUCAUCGCGGCCCCUUAUACAACGGAACCAAGCACCACCCGGCCCUGCUCCAUCCAAAAAGUUGUCGUGCGUGCGUUGUUGUGUUGCAGCUACUGUGCCAACCCAUCUCAUCUCCUUCCCACGACCCUUUCACUUCCGUUUUGCAUAUUGUGGUGACGUUUAUAUUGCUGUGAUGCUGGAAGCUAUGUCACUGGGAUUUCACAGACCAACAAGGUCAACCAAGACUUUGAAACUCAGUAGCUGUGUCGUCAUGUUCUUGUGAGUGACGUAAAGUCUACAGAUUCAGUAAGAAGAUUCUCGGAGUAGGUAAAGAUCAUUACACAGAAUGCAAAAGCAGUCAUCAUACAUGACGGCCCCCAUUCAAGAACCGGAACAGUGGUAGAAAACGGCUUCAAAUAAAA